rnacentral:rRNA from 1 species
GUGUCAACAGCCGCGGUAAAACCAGCACCUCAAGUGGUCAGGAGGAUUAUUGGGCCUAAAGCAUCCGUAGCCUGCUCUGUAAGUUUCCGGUUAAAUCCAUUAGCUUAACUUAUGGGCCGCCGGAAAAACUGCAAAGCUAGGGAGUGGGAGAGGUAGACGGUACUCGGUAGGAAGGGGCAAAAUCCUUUGAUCUAUUGAUGACCACCUGUGGCGAAGGCGGUCUACCAGAACACGUUCGACGGUGAGGGAUGAAAGCUGGGGGAGCAAACCGGAUUAGAUACCCGGGUAGUCCCAGCUGUAAACGAUGCAGACUCGGUGAUGCCCUGGCUUGUGGCCAGUGCAGUGCCGCAGGGAAGCCGUUAAGUUUGCCGCCUGGGAAGUACGUACGCAAGUAUGAAACUUAAAGGAAUUGGCGGGGGAGCACCACAAGGGGUGAAGCCUGCGGUUCAAUUGGAGUCAACGCCAGAAAUCUUACCCGAGGAGACAGCAGAAUGAAGGUCAAGCUGGAGACUUUACCAGACAAGCUGAGAAGUGGUGCAUGGCCGUCGCCAGCUCGUGCCGUGAGAUGUCCUGUUAAGUCAGGUAACGAGCGAGAUCCCUGCCUCUAGUUGCCACCAUUACUCUCAGGAGUAGUGGGGCGAAUUAGCGGGACCGCCACAGUUAAUGUGGAGGAAGGAAGGGGCCACGGCAGGUCAGUAUGCCCUGAAACCUUGGGGCCACACGCGGGCUGCAAUGAUAGUGACAAUGAGUUCCUAAACCGAAAGGUGGAGGCAAUCUUCAAACGCUAUCACAGUUAUGAUUGAGGGCUGCAACUCGCCCUCAUGUAUAUGGAAUCCCUAGUAACUGCGUGUCAUUACCGCGCGGUGAAUACGUCCCUGCUCCUUGCACACACUGCCCGUC